rnacentral:sRNA from 1 species
ACUGAACUUAAGAAUCAUUGAAGAAUGC